ACCACUGCUCCGUCAUGAAAGAGAGGCAAAAACGCCAAUCUAGCGGCAAGACACUGGACAAGACUGAUUGCCGGGGAAUUUCACAAAGAAGAAGCUCACAUAUAGAAUCUAGCAUUUUCAUUAUAAUAAAAUCAGCAGCCCGCGCAGGAACUGAAGCAGAGAGCGACCAUGAUCAUCUUUUUGUCCCGCAGUGUGCUCCUGUCAGUUUAUUACCCGCAGAUGUUCCUUAUCCUCACCAGCGGAAGUUACCUAGCGUUGUCCUCAGUUGUCGCCUUGGGAGCGAAUAUCAUUUGCAACAAGAUCCCAGGACUGGCGCCCCGGCAGCGGGCGAUCUGUCAGAGCCGUCCGGAUGCCAUCAUCGUGAUCGGGGAAGGGGCGCAGAUGGGAAUCAACGAAUGUCAAUAUCAGUUCAGGUACGGCCGCUGGAACUGCUCGGCUCUCGGAGAGAAAACCGUCUUCGGACAGGAACUAAGAGUGGGUAGUCGAGAAGCAGCAUUCACUUACGCCAUCACCGCGGCUGGCGUGGCUCAUGCAGUGACUGCUGCCUGCAGUCAAGGGAACCUGAGCAACUGUGGCUGUGACCGGGAGAAACAGGGCUACUACAACCAGGAAGAGGGCUGGAAAUGGGGAGGCUGCUCUGCAGACAUCAAAUAUGGAAUCGAAUUCUCAAGGAAAUUUGUGGAUGCAAGAGAGAUUAAAAAAAAUGCCAGAAGGUUGAUGAAUCUGCAUAACAAUGAGGCGGGGAGAAAGAUUCUGGAAGAAAGAAUGAAGUUGGAAUGCAAGUGUCAUGGUGUCUCUGGCUCAUGUACAACCAAGACAUGUUGGACAACUCUUCCUAAAUUCCGAGAAAUCGGAUAUGUCUUGAAAGAAAAGUACGGUGAGGCUGUUCAUGUCGAAGCAGUAAGGGCCAGCAGGUUACGCCAGCCCACCUUUCUUAAAAUCAAGAAGCCCAGGACCUAUCGAAAGCCAAUGGACACAGAUCUAGUUUAUAUAGAGCGAUCACCAAACUACUGUGAGGAGGACAGUACAACAGGGAGCGUGGGCACCCAGGGACGGUUAUGUAAUCGCACCUCCCAUCACGCGGAUGGCUGUGACCUGAUGUGCUGCGGCCGAGGUUACAACACCCACCAGUAUACCAAAGUGUGGCAAUGCAACUGCAAGUUCCAUUGGUGCUGCUUCGUCAAGUGCAACACGUGCAGCGAGAGGACUGAAGUCUUCACCUGUAAGUGAGACAGCUACCCCAACAGGAAAACAGACACUCUAAAACUCGGGGUGGAGGAUCACAACAAAAGCAAAAUGAGAAGGCAGAAACAAGGAGCCAACUAAAAAAAAAUGGAGUGGCAUUGAAAAUCAACUCACUGUAGCAUCAAUUUGCACAUCUACUUCCAAAAACCCACUCUUUGCUUGAAACACGUUGCAAGUCACUUGGCUACGUUUCUAUAAUAAAACAAGAGUUGGUUGCAAUUUGAUAUACCUGGUGCCAAUGCAAGUCCAUUCUUAUGGGCAGUAUUAUUAUUGAAUUUGGUGUGGCAAGUCGUGAGUGAACCAGCUACAACUCCCAGAAUGCCAUGCGCUUGACUAUAUCACCUCACUUUCACAAUCUCCACAAGAAACUCUACUCAGUCAUAGCACUAUCCUCCCACUGUGAGAAAACAUCAACAAUAUUUCUCCACACACGAAACAAGAACAGCCUGAGGUACAAAGUGGGCACUAAAGGAAUCAUCAUGUUCAGUGCUUUUAAGGACUGGAAAUGACUUCGCUGUAUCACCCCAGAUGUGAUGGCAGAGAUCCAGAGUAGAGGAGGAGGAUGGGAAGACCCAUCUGUUAUGCUGUUUGAAACUGACUAAAUGCGUAUCUUGUCCAGUCUCACUGGAACUAUUUGGAUAGUUAAAAAAAAAGUUUAUUUAUGUUCUAGAAUGAACAAAUCUAAGCACUAACAGGUAGUAAUAUUGUAAUUUUUUAAAAAUGUAAACCUGUUAGAUUCGUUCCUCACUUACAAUGCAUUAAUUUGGAUAUUUCUCCAAAUGUUUCUCAGACACUAAUCUGCUUAUACAUUGAUAGUUUAAAAGAAAGUGUGACUAGAAUGAUACAGAGGGAUACAUAAACAGUUUAAAUUCUAAAAUUUACAUCAAGCUAUUCAUUGUUUUGAAUACUCUUUAAAAAUAUUAAUUUAUUUUGAAAGGAAGUUCCUGAAUGCUGGGACAAAGGGACAUAAAAUGCUACAGGUACUCUUUAGUUUUGCUCGAAAAUGAAGUCAUGUCACGUGGCCCUUCAUAAGCAAUGAAUGGCAGGCGACACUGCCACAUUCAACUGGUUUAUGCUUUCACUACUUUUCCUGUAUCUGAAAGGCAUAACAGGGAACUAUUGGAGCAGAAAUAAGAUGUGUUUUGUUAGUUGUCUGAAGCCCUGAGGACUGGACCUGGAUAACUCCUGAUACUGUAGACUGGAUCGACAGAAAAUAAGUUGUUUCUUUCUGACAAACAUUUCACCAUUAAAAUAAUGAGAUAUAAAAACAGGCUUUGCUGUGUGGGUACUUUUCUGUUAGGCUGGUAUUGUCAAUGUGUCAGAAUCAUUAGCUCAUUGGCAUAUAUUCUGCAAGCUAAUGCUUCUGAUCUAAUUCACUGCAGGGACAACAUGCCUGCUACUAAAUAAAACCCAGACUGAAAAGAGAGGGGGAGAAAGUGCUGUGUGACAGGACCACUUCACUCCGCAGCCAGACAGCCUUUCAAACCUUCAUGUCCUAUUAACUCUUGCCUGCUUACCUUUCUAUUCAACUAUUGCCAUAUUAUUCAUGAUCCCAUGUUCAACAUGUGCCACAAAUACAGUAUAUACUGGUCCUCUACAGACAUACCUGUAGAGCAACUAUGAAAACACGAGUUUGUGGAGCAAUUUCCUCUUGUGUAUCUUCGAAAAGAGGAGCAAUUGUUAGCCCUGACUGAAAUAACCAAGGCAUGUGAAGAUUUCUCAUCAGACACAGAUUGCAUGUAGAACCUGUUUAGUGAUAGCAUGACUCAUAGAAAGUGUACACAUUGGUUUUCAAAGUUAUGAAAUCAUUUAAUUCAUACGAGGAUUCUCAUUCUACAACCAAAGUGUGCUCCUUUCUUGGUUUAGUUUCAGAUUUAUACUGAAAAGUUAUGAUUAACUUGAAAUCAAACCAAGGAAGGGGUCAGCAGGGUUACGGUUGGAAUUAAGGACACAUGCAUUUGCUUGUACACGUAUAAUGCAUGUAUGUGUGAAGUGCCCACCAAAUGUGAUCUUUCUAAAUUCAUGUAAACUAUAUUACUGACACUGGAAACAUAUUAAACAGGUACGGCUUGUUUGAAGAAAAUGUCAAUAUUUCAAGACAGCAGUCCCUCAUCGUUCAGUUCUGUGGAAAUGCCAUUGACCUGGAAAAUUAACAGAAAUGCUAAGCAUUUCCAGCAUUUUCUGUUCUUAUUUCAGAUUUCUAGCAUCUUAAUAUUUGGGAUACCCGGAUCAGAUUGAGACCAUUUAAUUGGCAAUCUCUGUUGGUUCCUUUUUCUUUGGCCAAACUCGGAAGCGUCUCUGCAUUCAAAGUGUGGAUAAUUUUAAAGCUCGUCUUUUUAUAGUAUCACAUUAAAAUAUUUCAUGCAAUUAAUAGUUUUGAAGUGCAGUGUUCAUUUCUGACACCUUUUCACUAAAAAAAAAUGCCUCAUCAACUGACCCUACCUUCCAUGAAGAAUGCCACAUGGAAUAUUAUGCCUGAUAUCACCAUCUACCGCUCUAACACUUUCUUCUCCUUUCAAGCGUCUCAUUUUGCUUCACUCCUCUUGCAUCUUGAUAAACAUCUUGAUUCUCUAUCAGCCACCACAUAUCAUAAACUUUUUCUAAUUGAGAUACCAUCACCAAUUUCCUCCCUCUGCAUCCAAGUAGUUUCUUAUCUUAGUUGAUUGCAAGUUCUAUUCCAACUUACCCUGCUCUUUCCUGAUUUCAAUGCCUCCUUAUUCACAGACAGGCCUUGGACUUGUCACUCCAGUACUUUCAUUAACCUCACUACCCCUAUUGUCACCAUCACAGGAAAGGCUGCCUCUUAUUAUUUUCUAGUAUUG